GACGGGGGGGGCAAGUGUUCUUCGGAAUGACUGGGCGUAAAGGGCACGUAGGCGGUGAAUCAGGUUGAAAGCGAAAGUCGCCAAAAAGUGGCGGAAUGCUCUCGAAACCAAUUCACUUGAGUGAGACAGAGGAGAGUGGAAUUUCGUGUGUAGGGGUGAAAUCCGUAAAUAUACGAAGGAACGCCAAAAGCGAAGGCAGCUCUCUGGGUCCCUACCGACGCUGGGGUGCGAAAGCAUGGGGAGCGAACAGG
rnacentral:rRNA from 1 species